UCUCCAAGGAUCAUCGCUUUUUGACACGGGAUUAUUAGAAGCAUUCAUUCAUCUAUCAAGGAGUUUUGGGAUACUUGCCAUAAGCCAAGCCCUCUGAUAGGUGCUGGAAACAUCAAGCUCUGUGCCCAGGAAGUUCAUCCUUGGACUCCACGCAUGAACGACUUUGCUGUCUUCCCAUUGGAUUCAGCCAGUCCGCGGUCCUGGUAGGAAAUCAGGGUGCACUGGGUUGGACAAUACAUAAUAUGGUCACCUGAGAUAAUAUCUUUAUUUUGUGGAGGAGGAAACAGAAGUAUAGAGAAGGUAAAUUAUUUGCCCAAGGUCACCUAGCAGGCUGCCUGAGCAAUUGUGUCUGGUUCGUGAAGUGAGUUCCCAUUAUCAUCCAAUUGGCCCUGAUCUCACAUCCCAAGCCCAUGGAUCAUACCACAUUGUUCUUUCUGCAAAACAGUUGAGAAUUACCAGUAAUUGGGACUGUUUACAUUCAAUGCCAUCAUGACAGAAGCAGCUUUAUUAUAUUGCAGAGGAAUGAUUAAUACAUGAUGGGGAUUAAAGAUUGCAUUGCAGCAGGCCAAGGCAAGAGGCAAUAAAGAUUAAUAAUUUUAGAUUUCCACUGUAGCAAGAACGGGAAAAAAGUGUCAUCUGAAAUGCCAACUUCAAGCAAUUGCAGUGAUUUCCUGGAACCCUACGUGACAAGUCCAGAUUCAGUGGGAAAGAUAAAUCAUGCUGCUAUAAAGACACAUGCACACGAUUGAAGACAUGGAGUGCAUUUGCUGGGUGUAAAUAAUUAAAGACAUCUCUGCUUUCAACUGGAGUCAGUAAGUGCAGAAUUUGUUUAUUUUUAAAAUAGAUCAAAGAAGUGGAAGGGGGUGUGAGGCUUGAGGUUGGAAAACCUGGGUUGUCAUCUGGAGAGACUCAUAGGUAGCUGUGUGGGCUUUGCAGGCCCAGGAGAGGAAGUGAUCGUUUCCUUGAGUCACGCAGGGAAUAAGUGAUUGAAAUUCUGUGUGUGUGAAGUAGAUGGAAAGAUGGGGGCGUUAUGGAAACCCACUCUCCUGUUUCUCAGUGCAUCGUUUCUUUGAGUAUUGCACAUUAUCUCUGGAAAAGGAAUAUCAAGGAUUCUCCUGAACUUUAUAUUUUUAAUAAACUUAAAAGAUAUGGUAGUCCCCCAUCAUUAAGAGAGCUGUGUUUUGACUGAUUUGCAAAAGCUGUAGGAGUAGGCAAUGGCUAUGACCUCUAAACAUUCAAAUACACAAUGUGCUGGAGGCCACUACCCAAUCCCUCUCCUUGUUAAUCCUGAUACCUGCCCCCUAUGCCAAGAAAAUGAUGGUUUUGAGCAAGGGGACUAGAAAGAAGCUCGUGGGCUCAUUUCAGUCCAUGAGUUUCCUAGACUGGAUACCGUAUUCUGGGUAUAUUAUCAGGAGUCUCCCCACCCUUGGGAUGUCCAGCCCCCCAGCAGGUUAAUUCAUUUAGAGAAGUUGUGGGGAGGGAAUGUUGAAAUGCUCACUGAUGCACCCACAGUCUCUGCAGCCUACAUUCCUCAUCCCCCCCAUAGCAGUCAACACUGAUAAGUGUGUUUUGUAUUUCCUAAAAGGACCCUGCAUAUCCCUCAGAGAUACAAGUUACUGGGAUUGUGAUUCUGGGGAUUUGCUGAGCUCAAAGAACUGAGGCUCAUAUCUGAGCUCCAUAAUGGUGAAACCCACCUCUGUUCUGUGUUUUCUGCUAUCUGAUAACUUCUUUCAUACUGGAGAUUCUGCUGGCUCUUGACAAAAUUUUGGUACAAAUGGCAUGAAGUAACCUCCCAUCUCUGUGUUGCAACUAUUAAAGCAUAUAAGACACAUAGGCCACUAGAAUUUGUACAGAUCAGCACAUCAUGGCUUGGGGGAGCAUGUCUGUGGUCUUUGAGAUUUCUCUUGAAAGUUGAGUGGAAGCUGUCACAUAGAGUAACAUUUUUCAAACUGUGAUAAAUGGUCUUUUUGUUUUAAAAAUUUCUAGUCCACUAUAGGCUAACACUCUUAUAAGACAAAAACACAAAAAUCUAUACAAAGUACAAGUUCCUUAUUUUUAGUAGGCAUAAAAUUAUUCUUUCAAUCUCUAUAAAUUCUGAUUUUUUUCCCUCAAUGUCAGUACUUGCUGCAGACCAGUAAUAAAGAACUUAUAGGCCAGCACAAUGGGCCACACUUGGAGAAGCUCUUGUUGAGAGAGUAUGUAGGAAGGUUCCAUCUUUUUUACAGUGUAGGGGAAAGGUUGCCUAAAAGUCGUAAAGCCCUCUACCCUUCUCAUUCCCUCCAAGGGUUAGGACCCAUAUACAUAGAGUCUAUCCUAUGCAACUAGUGUGUAGAAAGAUAUUGUUUAUAAACAUGAAAUCGAGCUUGAAGUUUCUUGGAUUCUCUUGGAAUCUUUCAUAAGAACAAAAAGUGGUUUCACCAUCCAGACAACCUUUAUUUUAAGUUACCGAUUACAAUCCUUCUGGAGAACCUGAUUCUUUUUUUUUCAUAGCCUAAUUUCCAUUACCUUAAAUUACCUUACCCAGGACAAAUGGCUUAGGUCUGAGCAUUGAAGCAUCAGUUUAGUGGCCGCUUAAAUGAAGGAAGUGGGAAUGAUUUAAGUCAGCAUGUGUUUUCCAAACAUGCAAUGUAAGAAGGCUGCAAACAUGUAAGUGUUAUUUAAAAUGUAAAGAGAUCUGUGUAGAAGCCAGGCACUUUGAAAUGGAAAUAAAAAAGCCAAAGACCUCAGCUGGGUGCUUCAGAUAACAACUCAAAUAUUACAUGAAAGAGGGAAGAAGGAAGACGAAAAGGGAGAAGCAGGAUUCUGAAACUUUGCAAUAGCUGAUGUCCUUUGAAGGAGAUGGAUUUGAGGGGUCAAUACUAAUCUUUAGAAUCAGAAGCAUUUGCACUGUUAACUGUAUCAGAAUCACUUAAAUUCUUUUGUUACUCUAAUGAGCACUUCCUUGAUGGUUAAAAUAUUAUAUCAUAGCAUUAACUAAGUGCAUUUGCCCUUAACCUGAAAUUAGUGAGUAGUCAAGAAGAUUGUAACUGGCUUGGUAUAGAAUUGGGGGAGAUUUACUUCUGAGGCCUGCUGGAACUGUGUUGACCUAUUAAAUGGAAAGAUAAUGCCAUUGUGUGAAAAACUCACACAAAAGAAACUAUCACAAAGAUGAAGUUGUACAAGGAGGUUUUGGGGAUUAUCAGAGAAUUAUGUAGAUUCACAAAUUGCAAAAGUGUUGAUUUUUAUCUAACUAGCUAUACUGAAAUGGGAGAGCUCCCUGACCCCCUCAGAGGACGUGUGACAGGGGUGUGGCUUGUUGCUGCUCAAACCCCUUACAGGAGGGGGAGCAUGCAGACAGACAGGUGAAGGAGCCUAAGUGUGCGUGUGUUACACUGUGCUCUUUUAGCCUUACUGUCUGUGAAUGGCUUAAAUGUUACCCAGCUCAGUGGACCCUCUGCCUUUUUGCAAGGGUAGGGGGCCAGUGUGACAGUUUUCCGUAUCCCGAGUUCUUGUCCAGUAUACCAGAAGAAUCAGGUCACACACAGACUUGAAUGAUGGUGAAUGCUGCGUUUUAUUGGGCGGUGGAGGUGGCUCUCAGUGGGAGGGAUGGGGAGCUGGACAGGGGAUGGAUUGGGAAGAUUAUCUUCCCCUGGAGUUUGACCAUCCAGCAACGGAUUCUCUGACCAUCCCCAGCUGAACUCCUCCUGAUGUUCAGACGCUCCUUCUCUGCCAUGCCGUUCUUCCGUUCAUCUGCUCGUCUGCUCAUCUUCUCCUUCUGAAGUCUAGAGUUUGGGGUUUAUAUGGGUACAGAAUAUGGGGCAUGGUAGGCCAAAAGUUAACUUUUUGGGAAUGUAAACCGGAAUGCCUGAUCUAAUUUAGGGCUGCAGGUUUCCAGGCUUGAGGGUGGGGCCUUUGCCAGGGAACCCACCCUCUUCUACCCAGUAUUUCCCUGUCUCCUGUCCAUAUCAAUACUUAGCAAGACUUAUUAAUACUGAAAUACCUGAUGCCUGCCUUUUUGAUGCCCUGACCACACAUAACUUAUUCUAUCCUUAGACAAAUGAUGUGAUAGAAAUAAUGCUAUAAAAUACUUUAUCAGAAUGAAAAGAAGUCGCAGUUGUUACUUUUACUGGGCAUCAGAAUCGCCCAAAAGGCUUAUCAGUAAUGUUGAUUCCAGGGUGCAAAACCCCAGAUAUUUUGCGUCAUCAGAUGUGGGGCAACAUAGACUGCCUUUCUAAGCAUACCAGGUGGGUUUGACACAAGUGGCUCCUGGAACACACUUUCAAAAUUCAUGCAACUUCCUCACUGUAUGAAUGAAGAAAUAGAAACUCCUUGGCUGUAUGACCUUCGUGAGGCCACUUAAACUCUGAGGCAGAACCAACAUUGGAACUCAAGGAUUCUGUCCCACCCCCAUGCUGCCUUAUAAUUACCUGGAUCUGCAGCUAACCUGUAUUUCUGUGCAAUGCCUUUGAAGCAAACACAUCUUUCUCAAUUUACAAUUGGAAGGGUUUGUCCUAACCAAGGAUGACAAAAACAAGUCAAAUGUUUAGUAGGUCAUUGAGGCUGCUUUUAAAAUUCAGCUUUAGAUUUUUGUCAUGGUGACUGCCUUGUAUCUCCAUAACCUCAGACACACCCUGAGGAUAGAGGGUGCAGACAACCUUUCUUUUCUUGCUCCACAGGAGGGAAUCUAUUAAUCACAAGGGGAAGUAGAGCUAGAGAGCUCUUACUAGCUCAGUUACCAACACGUAAAUGAAGGCUCAAAAUUAAAGCAACUAUCUUCUGUGUCAUCCCAACAGCAGCUUUCUGAUACCAGCUGGAGUCUUACAGUUCAAUUCCAUUCAGACAGUAACUACCCAGAGCUAGCACAGACCCCACAGGUUGAAGGGCUGGGUCCCACAAGACCACCCCUACUUCACAUGCCAGCUCUCAAUCCCAAAUGCCCCCAAGCCCUCUGCACUUCUGCCCAGCUGGUGACAAAUUUGGAAGUUUUCAUCAAAUUACCCCGUCAGGUUUGAUAAUUUGCUACAACAACUCACAGAACUCAAGAAACAGCUGUAGUUAUGAUAACAGUUUUAUUAUAAAGGGUACAACUCAGGGAAAGCCAAGUGGAAGAGAUGCAAAGGGUAAGAUAUGAGGCUGAGGGAGAGGCUCAGCACUUCCAUGCCCUCUCCAGGUGUGCCAGCCUUGCAAACACAUGUGGUCACCAAGAGGGACAUUCUACAAGCCUUAGUUUUCUGAAUUUUUAUUGAGGUUUCAUAAUGUAAAUGUGAUUUUUGAAGUCACUGGCCAUAUGAUGGAACUCAAUUUCCAGUUUGUCUUUCAUCCCCAUCGACUGGAGGAUAGGGUUGAUAGUUCCCACUCUCUAAACAUGUUUGGACUUUCUGUGACUAGCACUCAUCCUGAAGCAAUUGAGGGAGCCUUGUCAUGAGUCAUCUCAUCGGCAUAAAUGCAGGUAUGGUCUAAGUGUCUCAUUGUAAAUCACAAAAGAUAUUCCUACUGCUGAGGAAACUCCAAAGGAGUUAGGAGCUCUGUGCCAGGAACACUGGGACAAAGACCAGAUAUAUAUUUUUAUUACACUACAUCUUUCAAUUGUAUUUUGAAUAUAUACUGUUGUCAGAGACGGCUAUUUGUCUUAUUGGCUAAUCUGUAGCUUUGUGCAAAGACAUAUUUACUAUCUGGGUCUGGAUUGUGAUACUUAAGAAUAUUAGAAAGGAUUAUGCAUGUAGUUUGCAUUUCUUGUAUUAAAAAUGAUGAGAAACAAGAUGGCUUUAUAGAUUUUGUAACUGCCUAAAUGCUAUUAUGAUAUGUAAGGGAGAAUAGAUUUAUAUAGUAUAGGACCUUGUUAGGAAUAUUAGGCUGUAGUAAUAAAUAACAUCCAAAUGGCACUUCAGUUUAUAAUGUACUUUCAUGAGCAUCAUAAUCAACUGCUAACAUUUAUUGAACACAUACUUGGGUCAGAUUCUGUACGAAGUGUUUAUAUGCAUAAUAACUCGAGCUUCUAUGCUUCAUAACUCUAUUAGGUAGGCACCAUUACUAUCCCCAUUUUGCUAAUGAGGAAACCAAUGUGCAUACCAGGUUAAAAAACUUGUUCAAGGUCACAAAUUAGCAUCACAACUUGAACCUUCGUUCAUUUGACCCAGAGCUGUAAACCAUAGUUGCAAUGCCUAUACUAUAACCAGAAAGUAGAAAGCAGAGGAGUGAAUCCCAAACUAAUAGCAAGAGUAGAUUCCAGUCUUUGUUACAGAGACUUUCUAUCUGACCUUGAGUUUCUGAACCUCUGAUUUCUCUUUUCACUUUGUUGGGCCGGGCACAGGUUGAGGUAGAUGCUCUCUGGCACUUUGAGUUUGUCAUUGGUGAUCUGAUGCCUGAGUUUGGCUUCUGCUCUGGUUUUGGGGGUGAUAGGGUAGCAGCAUUGUUGUCUGGGUUAAAUACUCGGGAUUUAUUGUCUCACAACCAUGGAAAACUAGAAUGCAGACACACAAGAGUGAGGUUCAGAGCAGAAAUGUAAUAGGCAAAAGAAAGAGAAAAGCUCUCUUGCUACAGAAAGGGGUCUCAGAGAAAAUGGGUUGCCACUUCCUCAGUGAAGUGUAGAAGGUUUUAUAGGUGAGCUUGAGGAGACGGUGUCUGAUUUAUAUACAGCAUGAAAGAUUGGUCGGACCAGGUGUGUCAUUUGCAUAGUGCGUGAAAAUCUGGCCACCCCCACUCUAAUCUUUUAUCAUGCAGAUGGGUUCUCUACCUAGCCAGCUCCAUGUUGCCUGUUUCUUACUGUACAUGUGGUGACAUAGAAAAGAGAAGAUGGAGUCUCCAUGUUGAACAUGCCUGUCUUCCAGGUAGCCCUUUUCUAUUGGCACAGCUGCCGGCA